ACUGUACUCCUCCAUCCGAAAUUAUUGGUCGUAGAAAUGGAUGUAUCUAGACGUAUUUUUAGUUUAGAUACAUCCAUUUCUAUCUAUUUUGCGACAAGUAAUUCUGGAUGGGGAAGUACUAG
rnacentral:pre_miRNA from 1 species